rnacentral:rRNA from 1 species
CCUAGGGGUGGCAGCAGUGGGGAAUAUUGGACAAUGGGGGAAACCCUGAUGCAGCGACGCCGCGUGAGUGAAGACGUAUCUCGGUACGUAAAGCUCUAUCAGCAGGGAGGAUAAUGACGGUACCUGACCGAGAAGCCCCGGCUAACUACGUGACAGCAGCCGCGGUAAUACGGAGGGAGCAAGCGUUAUCCGGAUUUACUGGGGGUAAAGGGCGCGUAGACGGCAGCACAAGUCUGGAGUGAAAUCCCGGGGCUUAACCCCGGAACUGCUUUGGAAACUGUGCGGCUGGAGUGCAGUAGGGGUAGGCGGAAUGCAUGGUGUAGCGGUGAAAUGCGUAGAGAUCA